GUGCAGCAGGCGAGAAUUUUUCUCAAUGGGGGAAACCCUGAAGGAGCGACGCCGCGUGGAGGAUGAAGGCUUUCGGGUUGUAAACUCCUGUCAUUUGGGAACAAAGCCUUACGUUAACUGCGUGGAGGUUUGAUAGUACCGAAAGAGGAAGAGACGGCUAACUCUGUGCCAGCAGCCGCGGUAAUACAGAGGUCUCAAGCGUUGUUCGGAUUUAUUGGGCUAAAGGGCGCGUAGGCGCGGGUAAUCGGGUGUGAAAUCUCAGGGCUCAACCCUGAAACUGCACUUGAUACUGCUCUGCUUGAGGACUGGAG
rnacentral:rRNA from 1 species